rnacentral:rRNA from 1 species
CCUACGGGGGGCAGCAGUGAGGAAUAUUGGUCAAUGGACGAGAGUCUGAACCAGCCAAGUAGCGUGAAGGAUGACUGCCCUAUGGGUUGUAAACUUCUUUUAUAUGGGAAUAAAAUGUUCCACGUGUGGGAUUUUGUAUGUACCAUCUGAAUAAGGAUCGGCUAACUCCGUGCCAGCAGCCGCGGUAAUACGGAGGAUCCGAGCGUUAUCCGGAUUUAUUGGGUUUAAAGGGAGCGUAGGUGGAUUGUUAAGUCAGUUGUGAAAGUUUGCGGCUCAACCGUAAAAUUGCAGUUGAAACUGGCAGUCUUGAGUACAGUAGAGGUGGGCGGAAUUCGUGGUGUAGCGGUGAAAUGCUUAGAUAUCACGAAGAACUCCGAUUGCGAAGGCAGUUCACUGGACUGCAACUGACACUGAGGCUCGAAAGUGUGGGUAUCAAACAGGAUUAGAUACCCCAGUAGUC